AUUUUCUAUAAGAUGUUCUUCAGACGAGCAAAUCCCUGUCCUCGGGGGCCAGCAAGAGCUGUGGGAGUUAUUCAUGGUAGGGCUGCGUACAUUGUAUCCAAACGGCCCAUCCCUCCCCCCGGGUCAUCGAUGGCCAGACAGCGUAUAUACGGUGAGACGCCUCCUGAGGGUUCUACCACGGGGCAUGGGUUUCCAGUACGUGGUUGAUUGAGAGGGUUAUGGCCCAGAGGAGAGGUGCUGGGUCCCUGCUAAAGACAUCAUGGACCAGGCCCUCAUUGCCGAUUUUCACCGCCGACACCCCGGGUCAGCCAGGUAUGCGCUCAGUUACUCACCCGGAUCAUUUACCCCAUUCCCGCCUGGUCGUCGGC